rnacentral:lncRNA from 1 species
GAAAAAGGGAUUUGAGCCAUAAGAAGAUGAGGAUCUAUCACCAGAUGAGGAAAUGGAAACAACUAAGUAUUAGUUAGGUUCCGGAAAUGGAAAUGGUAACAGCGGCCCAAAAAUGGUAAGGUUUUCUUUGAAAAGAAAAAGGAAUGGGAUGGGGUAUGAAUCCUUAACUAAAAAAGUAAGCACCUCUCCUAACUAAUUAGUUAGUAUCGAGAGACUAGGCUUUUCAUUAAAGUUGAAGGAGACAAACAAAGGUACUCUUGCCGAUGG